UAGGGAAUCUUCCACAAUGGACGCAAGUCUGAUGGAGCAACGCCGCGUGAGUGAAGAAGGUCUUCGGAUCGUAAAGCUCUGUUGUUGGUGAAGAAGGAUAGAGGCAGUAACUGGUCUUUAUUUGACGGUAAUCAACCAGAAAGUCACGGCUAACUACGUGCCAGCGGCCGCGGUAAUACGUAGGUGGCAAGCGUUGUCCGGAUUUAUUGGGCGUAAAGCGAGCGCAGGCGGAAUGAUAAGUCUGAUGUGAAAGCCCACGGCUCAACCGUGGAACUGCAUCGGAAACUGUCAUUCUUGAGUGCAGAAGAGGAGAGUGGAACUCCAUGUGUAGCGGUGGAAUGCGUAGAUAUAUGGAAGAACACCAGUGGCGAAGGCGGCUCUCUGGUCUGCAACUGACGCUGAGGCUCGAAAGCAUGGGUAGCGAACAGGAUUAGAUACCCUGGUAGUCCAUGCCGUAAACGAUGAGCGCUAGGU
rnacentral:rRNA from 1 species